CGUGUGGUGCCGGUGCAGGCCAGUGGUCUGGCACGGGAGAGCGACACGGCCUUACCGAGGU
rfam:Izhakiella sp. D4N98 NODE_16_length_109482_cov_105.999_ID_3435, whole genome shotgun sequence.